rnacentral:rRNA from 1 species
AAUAACCCGCGGUCUUGACGGUACCUCCGRAGGAAGCCCCGGCUAACUCCGUGCCAGCAGCCGCGGUAAUACGGAGGGGGCMAGCGUUWUUCGGAAUUAUUGGGCGUAAAGGGCGCGUAGGCGGCUKGGUAAGUCAAAGGUGAAAUCCCUCSGCUCAACCGAGGAACUGCCUUUGAAACUGCYUGGCUUGAGUCCGGGAGGGGGUAGCGGAAUUCCCGGUGUAGCGGUGAAAUGCGUARAUAUUGGGAGGAACACCRGUGGCGAAGGCGGCUACCUGGACMGGUACUGACGCUGAGGCGCGAAAGCGUGGGGAGCAAACAGGAUUARAUACCCUGGUAGUCCACGCUGUACCAACGAUACUUGGUGUUGCGGGUWUUGACCCCUGCAGUGCCKAAGCUAACGCGUUAAGUGCUCCG